rnacentral:rRNA from 1 species
AGUGAACGCUGGCGGUAGGCCUAACACAUGCAAGUCGAACGGCAGCACAGUAAGAGCUUGCUCUUACGGGUGGCGAGUGGCGGACGGGUGAGGAAUACAUCGAAAUCUACCUUUUCGUGGGGGAUAACGUAGGGAAACUUACGCUAAUACCGCAUACGACCUACGGGUGAAAGCAGGGGAUCUUCGGACCUUGCGCGAUUGAAUGAGCCGAUGUCGGAUUAGCUAGUUGGCGGGGUAAAGGCCCACCAAGGCGACGAUCCGUAGCUGGUCUGAGAGGAUGAUCAGCCACACUGGAACUGAGACACGGUCCAGACUCCUACGGGAGGCAGCAGUGGGGAAUAUUGGACAAUGGGCGCAAGCCUGAUCCAGCCAUACCGCGUGGGUGAAGAAGGCCUUCGGGUUGUAAAGCCCUUUUGUUGGGAAAGAAAAGCAGCAGGUUAAUACCCCGCUGUUCUGACGGUACCCAAAGAAUAAGCACCGGCUAACUUCGUG